GAUGAACGCUGGCGGCGUGCCUAAUACACGCAAGUCGAGCGAACAGACGAGGAGCUUGCUCCUCUGACGUUAGCGGCGGACGGGUGAGUAACACGUGGAUAACCUACCUAUAAGACUGGGAUAACUUCGGGAAACCGGAGCUAAUACCGGAUAAUAUAUUGAACCGCAUGGUUCAAUAGUGAAAGACGGUUUUGCUGUCACUUAUAGAUGGAUCCGCGCCGCAUUAGCUAGUUGGUAAGGUAACGGCUUACCAAGGCAACGAUGCGUAGCCGACCUGAGAGGAUGAUCGGCCACACUGGAACUGAGACACGGUCCAGACUCCUACGGGAGGCAGCAGUAGGGAAUCUUCCACAAUGGGCGAAAGCCUGACGGAGCAACGCCGCGUGAGUGAUGAAGGUCUUCGGAUCGUAAAACUCUGUUAUUAGGGAAGAACAAAUGUGUAAGUAACUAUGCACGUCUUGACGGUACCUAAUCAGAAAGCCACGGCUAACUACGUG
rnacentral:rRNA from 1 species